AACGAACGCUGGCGGCAGGCCUAACACAUGCAAGUCGAGCGCCCUUUCGGGGGCGCGGCGGACGGGUGAGUAACGCGUGGGAAUAUGCCCUUCUCUACGGAAUAGCCUCGGGAAACUGAGAGUAAUACCGUAUACGCCCUGUGGGGGAAAGAUUUAUCGGGGAAGGAUUAGCCCGCGUUGGAUUAGGUAGUUGGUGGGGUAAUGGCCUACCAAGCCGACGAUCCAUAGCUGGUUUGAGAGGAUGAUCAGCCACACUGGGACUGAGACACGGCCCAGACUCCUACGGGAGGUAGCAGUGGGGAAUCUUAGACAAUGGGGGCAACCCUGAUCGAGCCAUGCCGCGUGAGUGAUGAAGGCCUUGGGGUUGUAAAGCUCUUUCAGCUGGGAAGAUAAUGACGGUACCAGCAGAAGAAGCCCCGGCUAACUCCGUG
rnacentral:rRNA from 1 species